CACCUGCCGGCGACCGGCGCACGGGUGAGUAACACGUAUCCAACCUGCCGAUAACUCGGGGAUAGCCUUUCGAAAGAAAGAUUAAUAUCCGAUAGGAUAUCAAGGUCGCAUGAUCUUGAUAUUAAAGAAUUUCGGUUAUCGAUGGGGAUGCGUUCCAUUAGUUAGUUGGCGGGGUAACGGCCCACCAAGACGACGAUGGAUAGGGGUUCUGAGAGGAAGGUCCCCCACAUUGGAACUGAGACACGGUCCAAACUCCUACGGGAGGCAGCAG
rnacentral:rRNA from 1 species